CUGUGGAAGAGAGACACACUCGUCGGCUGCACUUUCUUUAGCUGGCCUCUUUGUUCCUGUUUGGUUAGACCAAACUUGGAUUAGGCUAAUCAGCCUUGUAAUCUGAUUAGCUAUUGAUGAAUAUACUCAUGAGAAGGACUUGAGAAAGCAGAAAAUUUUGUGUCCCUCUGCUCCCAGCCAUCGGUACUGUUUCUUGGGCUAAGCCGCUGUCAUGAAGACUUGCUCCUGAAUGGUUGUGAAGUGACUUUUUUCUUAUCUAUACACUUAUUCCUUUAUGGGUGACACGCAGGGUAGCCUGCCAUCAGAACUGAGGAUCGACAUUCAAGAACCUAAAAGUGCACUUCUGCCAUUGUUAUCAAGCCAACAAGUUGAGGGGGAAAUGUAGGAAUACAUUGGGCAGGAACAAUAAUGUUGAACUUAGCCUACAGUAUUGAGCCUGAUUUUUUUUUCAGUAUUGCUGAUGAUGCAUAUUUGUUCUGCAAAGAACACGCAUCACUAACACAGAGAAAGAUGGGCCAGACAAGACUUUCAGUGUUGAACUUCUGGAAAAUUCAGCCUUGAGAUGUUGAACUGCUGUUGUUAUAGUGCCCAUGCCAAAUUCAGGCUCUGUCCUAUCAAAUGCUAUUGUCGUUAAUAGUGACAGGCUGGCCAAUUAAUCUGUGUCUUUGGAAAACCUUCAAAGAUCAACUUAUUCAACUUUGUUGUUAUGACUGCCUGUUUGAACAUAUUCAAAACUCAUUUUCUUAAAUGACCUUUAAAAUCUCUUAGCAAGAAGAUAGUUAAAUGCUGACGAUUUUAUUUUUGGAAAUACAUUAGCAUGGUAUUCUGUAAAGAAACACAUCAUUGCUAUUCUUAGAUAACUUCAAAAAUAGAAAUCCUUUCUUACUAUAUACAAGAACCAAUAUUGCACAGGAUGGCAAGAUUCCCUUAUAGAAAUGAGUAUAUUUUUGUAUGGACCUUGCAAGAGAGAGUAUUUACUUACUCAGUGACUCAGAAUUAAGGGCAGGCUCAACAAAUAUUUGUGGAGAACAUGAGGAAAUGGGCAGUUAAAUGAAAAGAAAAAAUAUGACUCUACUAAAUAAAAACAAACUAUGUUGUUGGACAACAAAAAGAGAGCUGCAGAGAACCAUUUAAAAUAUUUAUUAUUUGCCUGAGAAUAUUAAGGGAUUAAAGUAGCUGAUCUCAACCUGUGGAUCACAACCCUUUUGGGAGUUAAAUAACCCUUUCGCCUGGGUCACCUAUGACCAUCUGCAUAUCAGAUAUUUACAUUAGGAUUCAGAAGAGUAGCGAAGUUACAGUUAUGAAGCAACAACAAAAGUAAUUUUAUAGUUGGGGGACACCACAACAUGAGGAAUUGCAUUAAGGGUCGCACUAUUAGCAGGAUUGAGAGCCAAUUGUACUAAAAGAUACACUUUCUUUAGCUAGUCUCGUUGUUCUUGUCUGAUGAGAUCAACCACAGGCUUGGAUUGUGUUAAUCAGCCUUGUAAUCUGAUUGACUAUUGAUGAAUAUACUCAUAAGAAGGAUUUGAGAAAGCAGAAAAUUUUGUGCCCCUCUGCUCCCCAGCCAUUGCUAGUGGUGGACGAGAGCACUGACCUUAUCUGCUUUACGUUUUUCUUCUUUCCAUUUAUUUAUUUAUCUAUUUUGUGUGUGUUUGAACACGUGUGUGCCAAGGCACACAUGUGGAGGGCAGAGGACAAUUUGUGGGCUUUGGUUUUAUCUCAUUUCACAGAUUGGUUCCCAGGUCCUCAGGCCUGCAAGCAUGCACCUUAGCUCCUGAGCCACCUACUGAUCAGAGUUUUCACUUUUUACAAAAGGAAAUCAAAUCUUGCUUUUGCUUCUUUCUCUAAUUAUGAAUUUUGAGUCUACUCUUCAUAGUCAUGCUUUCCCUAUAUUUUUGUGUGUCAGUAAAACAAUGUGUUGCACUGUGUUUUGUGUUUUAAAUUUCUGAUGUCCUACUAUGCUUUGCUGUCCUACACAAGUUGCUCACUUAAUAUUGUUACUGAGAAAUGUCCAUAUAUAUGUAUGCGUAUACACACACACACAUAAAAUUUCUUAGUAGCUUUUUGUGUUGAGGCCAGAGGUCAACAUUGGAUGAUAUUCCCCAGAUUCCAUCUGCUUUGUUUUUUUGAGACAAAGUUUCUUCACUGGGAUUUAGGCCUCCAGAAAUAGGCUAAGCUUAUGUGACAGUGAACCCCAAAGAACGUUCUGUCUCUAUCUCUUUAACUGGGAUUACACAUGUGCUUGUACAUGGAUAGUGGGGAUCAAACUCAGUUCCUUCAGGUUUGCAUGGCCAACAAUAACCCAACGGGGCUAUUUCCCCAGCUCCAGUUUUCUGCUUUUAAAAUACUAUUUAAUUUGCCCACUGGCUCUCGAUCAGUAUGCAGAUAUAGGUGGUUGUUCCUAGUUUUUUCUCAAUGUAGGGAGUGGACGUUUCUGUGUCAGUCUGCCUUUGCCUGUGCUCUGAGGUGCAUCAGGAAGUAGAGUGUGGGGUUAUGAUGGGGCUUGUGCUUUCUGCAGUGGCUGGCCCAAGUUGUCCUUUGGCUGGCAGGCAAGAGAAGACUUUCACUCCGUAUUUCAAAUAGGCUCUGGUGUUCAGUUAGUAAAAUGUUGGCCUUAAAAAACGUUAACAUGCUAUUCAAUUUCUUGACAUUCAGAUUCCUUUUCAUAACCUCAAAGAAAGAUAGGCCGCAUAAUAAACAAGCUGGUGAGUGGGGUGGGGAGAACAAGAACAAAAACAAAACAAACGGAGCAAUGCAAGAAGCAUUAAGUCAAAACGACUUUUAUUGCCCUGUGUAGAUGUCUCUAUGGAGUUUGAUGCUAUCUCAUGAAAGAGACAUCGGUGAAUCUCACAAGAGCAGCCCUGGCUGAAAUGCUGACAUAAUAAUCAUUUUUCAGUACUGAAUUCCUAGCCUUGUAUGGUCCUGAACUAGUGGGGUUUUUUUAGUAGGAGAUGUACUGCAAAAUGAAAGAAGAAAUUGCAUUAAAGUUUCUGUUUUAAAUCAAUCAAAUUAGAAUCAACUUCUAUAGCUUGGGCUGUUAAGGAAUUGGAUUGACCACCUUCCUGAUAACUGUUAUUGUCUUUUUACACCUUUCAAGUUUGUCUUGUUGUGUCUCCUGACAGCCACAUGGUUACAUUUCUUUUUGUAGGUAGGAGCCAAUUCCCUUGCCUGGUUUCUCCUUUAAUGUAACAGUGGCAAAUGUGACCCCGAAUGGCAAAUACUACCCAUCUCAACCUUUAAUCCCUUGUAUUCACUUUCUGAUUUCAUGCUUAAACUGAGAUGCCCGUCUCAAUCUAGAAGUGAAAAACAGCUGAUAGAAUGUUCAUUAUCUUUUGCCCAAAGUCUCUGUUCCUCCUGCCAAAUAUUCUUAUCCUUGAGGAUGUCAUUAACCAGUAGUGGAGUCGCAAAACCUGCACAUUACCCUUGUCAUCAGAACGUCCCCUUCUUGUCAUCGGCUCCAACUUCUUCCUUUCUUUCUUUACCCUGACCAGUGCUGUUCCAGAAGAUCUCCUCACGACUAUUACCUAGAACUCUUAGACCAAAGGAAUUUGUCUUCGCCAGGUCCCUGCAGUGGCUACCACAUUUUCGAACUCAGUAAAUACGAAACACAUUGGAGUGUGUCUACUUUCCACUUCCCUGUGAUCAGCGACUCAGAACUGAUUGAUUUUUCUCACAACAGAGCAUAAUAUUGGGCCAUUUCAGCGUCCCUCCCUACAAGUUACAUCCAGGUUUGGGCCCUGUUGUGUAAGGUGAGGAGAGCUUGGGAAGGGAGUAGGAAAGAGCGGGUCAGGUGCCCCUCAGCUAACAUUGGGAACUUUAUAAAGCUGAUGUCAUGAAGCAAGGCUUUGUCACUUGCCUGUUUUUAUCAGAGAGAUCUGAAAAUGGAUUGAAAUGAUUAAAUCAAGAAGAUGGCGGUGCUAGUUCCAUUCAGUUGCCUACAGCCUUGAGAAAUUCCUUAGCAGCCCAAGCUAAUGACAGCAUGGCCUGUGCCUAAAAGAAAUACUCCGCAGAUACAAGGGACAUUAAAACCUACUUUUCAAAAUGGCCCUUUCCAUCUUUUGAUGGAUAUUUGUAUUUGUGAAAAUUUUCUGAGUUGUUUGCUGUAGGCAAAUGCUUGUUUAAGCUUUGUGGGAUACGGAAGAGUGGGACUGGAUUGUCACUCCAGAGGGGAGGCAUGUGUGACAGUGAUGGGUGGGCCAGGUGGGGAUGCCUUCCACAGUUGCUCCAGUCCUAGCACACACACGGCCCUACAUGGCUUGUGCGACAGGCGGCAGAACCAGCCAACAGCUGUCCAUCCAGAGGGAUGAGUGUCUAGGAUCUGGUCCCUCAGCAAACGUGGUGCUGUCUCCACGGGAAUAAAGUCAGAGGGGCCGAAAGUCAACUUCUGUCCCUCUGCUUACUUCCGUUGAAAUGAGGAAACUUCUGGAACAUUUGGGAAGGCCACGGCUACCCUGAUGUCUGUCAUGCCAUCAGGUGCUCACUGUUCUUGUUAUUGUUAGCCGCUUUUCUUUUCCAAGAGCACGUCGUCUGCCGAGGCUCAAGUGCAGCUUUCCUGCGAAUGGGGUCUGGGGGAAAGAACUGAGAAGGCAAGACGGUACUGUAUGUGCCCAUGGAGACAGACAAGGUCCUAGGCAGAGGGCAGAAGACCAGGGCUACUCGGCAGAAUGAAACCCAUGAUCUCUCAAUGGGAUUGCUACACUAGUCCUGAGUUUUAAGUGCAGUCUCAAAAAGAGCAAAUCCAGCCAGGCAGUGGUGGCGCACGCCUUUAAUCCCAGCGUUUGAAAGGCAGAGGCAGGAGGAUCUGUGAGUUCAAGGCCAGCCUGGUCUACAGAGUGAUUUCCAGGACAAAUGCUCCAAGCUGUUGGGAUAGCCUGUGGUAGUAUAAGGAGUGGGCCCAGGUGGGCAGAGUCGGUUUCACAAUUCUCUUCCCUGGUGACUGGUUACUACAUAAGCUUUUUGGUCGGUGGCCACACCCCACUGAUCUCUGGCCAGAUGCCAGUAGUUCUGCUGUGACCUUAGAGAGAGUGUAAGUCUCACCCCCAUGCACUUAUCCCCAAAGCCGAGGAGGCUGCCUACCUGGAAGGACUGCUGCCAACAUUGGCUAAAUGGCCAUUUGCAAUUGUUGGAGGUGUGCAUGUGUCUGCUGUAGAUUCACUUAGCCUUGGUGAUGUGCCCUGUCAGGAAAUCAUGCAGCUCAGGUUACCACCUCUUCCUCCUGCUCCUCAGACUCCUCAUUAAGUGGUUUCAGCUUCCUCUUCAUCACAGAAAGCAGAUGCUCAUGCAGUUGAUGACCAGAAGCAAGGCACUGGCCCCCAGUGCAUCCAGUCAGGUAAAGAUGGAGGGGCUGACCGAGGCUUGAAGUCAUGCCUUGCUUUGGGGGAGCAUCUGCCUUCUGUGGGCCCAGAAAUUUUAGCGUAUUUACAAAGUUAAUGGACUUAAUUGUGUGUUAGGUUGUAAUUAGGAAUUCUUCCCAAUAAUGUUACUGAUGUAGGAAAACCUGUCAAUCAUCUCAGAGCUUGGUAAGCUCAGGCUGACCAUAAAGGGCUGCUGGGAGGAGGUGCCUGGGUUCUACUACAUAUUUCUGUGCACAGCAGUUCAAUCAAUAUUGAUGAACUGAUCUCAUAGAAAGAAGUUAUGUGCAUUAGGCCUCAACUCAUUUGUUCAUGAGGCAGUGGAGGUGCUGGGAGUAUCAGUGUCAGGGACUGCUCUGAAACAUUGCUUUCUUCGUAAUGGAAAAGAGAAAUAAAUUAUUUAUUAAGAACUUCAGUCAUAAAAUAUCCACUGGUCACUGGAGGUGAUGAGAUUAGCCAUAUAAAAUAUGAGAUAAUAUACAAUUUGGGUUCACAGCUAAUAAUGAUACAUGAGAAAAGAAAGCAGAAAACAUUAUUAUUUUUUCAACAGGUCAGAAAUACAGUGGUCAUGUCGAUUGUGACAUUUGUUUGAAAUUUCUAAGAUUAGUGUGUAUAGUUUUUUUCAGUUAUUUGGAAUGUGCCAUUGAGAAUUAAGUAUCAGAAGUUUCUGUACAAUCUAUCUAAUCUUUUAAGCAUUUAUGCCAUUAAGAAGACCAGCGAAGAUCAGGGGAAGGCAUUUUAAAUGGAAAGCUUGGGAAUGGAAAAUAAUGGCAUUGCUUUGUGUCAUGUCCUGUUUAUUUUUCUAAAAUGUCAUCAAAUCUCAUCUAUUUGAGGGACCAAUCAGACUUUUUCUCCAAGGAGCAAGAUGACUUGGAAGCACUGGGAAGGAGUGGGUACUUAAGGGACUUGGAAUGUGCCUGCCAUUGUCAGGAGGGAGACAAAGGAGGCUUCAGUCUGUAUGAAAGGAAAGAACCUAAGUGCCACAACACUCCAUUAACAGAGCCAUUUAGAGCACAAACAGGGGCUAACCCUGGACCUAAGGAUCUCCACAAAGUGUGUCACAAACCAACUGAACAAAACAACGACAAAAACAAUGAGGCCACCUGUGUGUGCCAUGCCUUCCUGCAGAGCAGAGUCCUAAGGAUGCUGCUGGCUCAAGAAGGCUCAUUUGACAUUUAUGAUUUUUUUAACUUAAGCAAAGUCACAGUAACAAGGAAAAGGAUUUAAGGAGAGCUUAAAGUGACAGUCCUGACAGGAUCUCUUCCCCUACAGUCACCCCGUCCCCCCCCCAGCUUUGUUCAUGUAGUGUACUUUGUUGACAUCCGUAUUUAAAAUAUUUCUCUAUAGUUUUCUGAGUCUUCUGAGACCUUGGGGCCCAAGGUGUGGUCAGUGAUUCUUAUUACAGGUUGAAGGAGGUUUUCUGUUUGGUUAUGGAGGGGGGUGAUUUACAUAGGAAGCGCCUUUAAAUUCGAGAACAUUUGAAUGAAAUGCAUUUUAGUAAUCUGGCCUUUGAAAUAACAAAACAGGGUUGUGAGUCCUGUUUUGUCUUUUGGGGUGCUGGGGAUGGAACUCAGGGAUGCAUGCUAGACAGGUGUCCUAUGGCUGACCUAUGUCUUCAGCUCUCUGAAACUGCUUUGUAAGGAUCGAUAACGUUUACGGUCAUUGGGAGUAAAUGCAAAUUCAUAUUAGUUCACUAGCUAGACUCUUCCUGCACUUUUCUUAGCACUAAGGAGUUACUUAAUAUAAACUGAAUAAACCAAUGGAGGAACUCAGACAACCAGGCCAUCGGGGAGACAAAACAGGAUUUUUGAAUGACAUGAGCAUGAAAGCUUUUGAGUAAUGAAAUGAAAAAAGUUCAUGUUAGCAAUACCUUUAUUUCAAAAGAUAUCUAACUUGCCUUAGAGAAACAUAUAUUUCAUUGUGUGUUUGUUUAUACCUGUGCAGUAAUAUACUGGUAAGCUGUGCCCAAGAACGACAGGAAGCCAACGGCCAAGGGGAUCUCUUGACAUGUGGCAGCAUGACUGGUACCAGGCUGGUACCAGUUCAAACACAGGCAGCAUUCUCCACGUGGCCAUUUGUGCUUUGUUACUAGAGCAAAAUCUGGCUAUUUCUUGCAGCAGUUACUAUAGCAAGAAAAGAUUGUCUUGUUCUUCCAAACCCCUUGUGGAAGGAAGCAGAAUGGCAGAAAGACCAUGUUCAAAUCUCAGCUGGUUCCUUCUCUGCUGGAGACCUUUUUUUAUACUGGAGAUCAAACCCACGGCUUCCUGUGUACCAAACACGUCCUGGAAUGCACUUCCAGUGGUAGUUAUGAGCCUCAGGUCACUCUGCUAUGAAACGGUAAUCCUGUCAAUUCCUGGAGUGGCCAAUCUUCUCAGUCUGUACUAAGCUGUGCAAACCCCUCGGCUCUGACUGGCUGAGAUUUGCUGGAGGGUAGUGCAUGGGUGUUGGAUCUGGCUUAGGAUGUCUACUGUUUUUGCUGAUGAAGUAGCCUGCGGACAAGGACCAAACAAAAUAAAACUGAGUUGAGUUGAUUGGAAGCUGAUGAUUCAGAUGAUUCAGAUGAUUCAGAAGGGAUGUAGACAAGCAGGCCGUUUGGAGAAAGGGAAAGGCAGGUUCCUUCCAGAGCGGAGGAUCGUGACAGCCAGGGAAAGCUGGGAGCCUGGCAGUGUAAACAGCCCAGUAGACAAACCAGGAGCAACUCACUCAGAGCAUUCCGCUUCCAGUGAAAGAUAAGAACAAAACAGACUUAUGGAUCUUAGCGUACCCUGACCAGUCAGGUUUCAGCUAUGCUUAGUCUACUGUGAAUUAUGAAGUGAAAUCCAAGUUCUGCCGAGCUUAGUAUAUUUAGGACAGAAGGGGACCCUAAAAUAUGACUUAGAAAACUUUUAAAAGAUUAAGAUGACCAUCAGUAUCAUUUUUAACUUAAGCCCCCAUUACCUAGGUUAAAAAUAGCAAAACUGGGGGAUGGUGCCACACACCUUUAAUCCCAACACUCAGGAGGCAGAGGCAGGCGGAUCUCUGAGUUCGAGGCCAGCCUGGUCUACAGAGUGAGUUCCAAGCCAGCCAGGGCUACAUAGAGGAACCAUUUCUUGGAAAACCAACCAGCCAGCAAAACAAAACAAAAACAGAGAAAUGUGUUCACAAUUAAUUCACUUGCAAAGGCUGCAGCAAUCUGGUGAAGCUGCUCCCGCAUUCACAGGCUUGCUUCUAGAUCCUGGAUUUAACACUAGUUUCCUUAUCGUCCAAACAGAAAUAGCCAUAUUCACCUCUGUAGAGUUCGUAAGAAGUUUAAAUCAGAUGAACCAUGGAAGGCAUUUAAUACGUGGCCAAACCAGGAUGUGUUAAAAGAUUUAGCUUUUAUUCUUGGCGGUGUUAUUAUCUGAGGUGUAACUGGUAUUUUCCCUCUUUGGAAUCUCCCCCUCCAUUUACAUUAUCCUUUAAGAUGCCUUGCCUGCUCUUUACUCUCUCCUUUGGUCUUUCCUCUUUUUCUGUUGAUUUUUCCAAACAUUGCUUUUAACACUGCUAAAUCACUGCUUAUAAAACAAUUGGGAACAAAGUUUGCAUGGCGGUGUAUGUAUUGGCCCUGAACCCGUCUCAGCUGUCCGUCUCUUGGCUGUUCGUUGGAUAUUUGGCUGUCCCCUCCGUGCAUGGACAGUGUUCCUCCCACAGUACUAAAACUCGUGCAGCAUAACUCUGUGGCAUCCGGUGUCUACGCACUGAAGUAUGCACUAAUGUCCCUCUAGCCUUCGUCAGGUCUGAGCGUCACUGCUCCUCUUCUCUUGCCUUUUCUAGCUGUCACAUGUCUUUUGGCUUAAGAAAAUGUCACCAGAACAUUCGAGCAACGAUACUGCAUUUUUAUCUCUUUUUGUGACAUAACUGCAAGUUGAGUGAAUUUGUUCUCAACGGAGAGAAGGCUUGUGACAUUUCUAAACAAACAAAAAUAGCAGCUUUCACUGUGUCAUGAAUGCCACUCACAGAGCGUCCACUCAGGUGAGAAAGGCAGAGUUUUCAACUGAAGUUUGAAAUGAAAAUGUUGAGUUCCAGCCAACAUCAGAUGCCAGCCUUUAUCUUGACAGGAGGCUUUGGAGAUGUUGUGCAAUUAAAAUUCUAUGACAUGUUCAAAGUGGCCUUCUUGGAGGCAGGGUCUGUUCUGUAUGAACUGUGCUGCUCAGAGGAACAAGAGCACAGAGGGGGUUUGAGUGUCACUUCUGAGAGUGACUGAAGACCGAAAUUCCACUGAUGAGUACCUUUGAUUGACAGGUGUCAAUAACUAGUAUUCUGAAUGUGUCGAAAAGUCAGAGAACUUUGCCCAUUUCACUAGCAAUCUACCCAGUUUUUUAGUUUUCACUUAAGGUUCUGUAUUUUUAAAUACAAAUCUGCUGGUUGUAAAGAUGGCUCAGUAGGUAAAGUGCAUACCACAUUAGCCUGAAGACCUGAAUUUGAUCCCCCAGAGCCCACAUGAAAAGUGGAUGUGUCGACAAGCACUAGUAUCUCAGAGCUAGGGAGGCAGACACAGGAGAGUCCUGAGGUCCUGCCAGUCGGUUUAGGUGAAUUGGUGAGUUCCAGGUUCAGAGAGACCCUGUCUCAAAAAAUAGGAUGGGGAGAGAUUGAGGCAGACAUCUGACAUCAGCCUUUGACCUCUGCAGGCAUGCUCAUACAUGUGCGUGUGCAUGAGGGCACACAUACAGGAACACACACACACACACUAUAAAUUCAGUCUCCUCCUCCUUCCCCCUACAUAAAAUCUUGAGUGACUUAUGGAUGCCCUCAGAAGAAGCCCAGUAUCUGUCACAGAACCAGCAUAUUUUAGAGGAGCCCUCAUUGCCUGAAGGUGCCUUUGAUCUGCCAAGGUCAGGUUCUAGGCAGGCUGGCCAUCUUUCACUUUCUCAAAUGAACAAGCCAGCUCCUUCCUCCCUUCUCCCUCCUUCUGAACCUUCUAGUACAUUCUUCUCCUUUUUGGAUGCACUUUCUCCUAUUCUUUUUGUGACCAACUGCGCCUUGUUCAUUACUUCCCAUGAUUGCAGUUGCUUCCUCAACAAUACCCUCUUACCUCAUUUCCUGUUCUUUUCCUCUAUGGCAUUUGCCACAGUUUACAAUUGCAUUUGUGUGUUUUUUUAAUCUCACUCACAAUAAGCAAGUAAUGAGCAACCAAAAACUAAGCUUUAAGUUCAUAAAUCCUCAGAUAUAACAGUCUAAGAAAGGAGUAAACAACAAAAAUAGUAGGUUGUGCUUGCACAUUUUUGGUGUCUAACCUAAACAAUCUACUUCUUGGAGAACUUCCUCAAGGAAACUACUCUAGUCUCCCUCCACCUUUUUGUUUAUUUUAAGGCAAGAUCUCCCAAGGUGGCCUCUGCCAUAGCAUCCUCUUGCCUUAGCUUUCCAAGAGCUGGGAUUACAGGCACGAGCCAAAACUCUCAGCUUCCGUUAUAGUAUUCUCUUCAUUUGAAUAGCAACAACAUAGACAAGUAUGAUUUAUGAGCUAGAUGGAACAACAAACAAAAUUUACGUUGUAGACAUAGAUUCUGUCUUGAUAGGACUCGUACGCUGAGAUAAGCAUUUGUCUAACUAGCUGGAGGACAACAUGGGAAAUUUUGUACAGCAGAAGGCUCCCAGGGGCUGUUUUGUGGAGAGGUGGCCACAGUAAAGCAUGAGGCUAACACUCAGGGGGUUGGGAAAGGAACAGGAUAAUUUUGCUGCAUGCUGAGGUUGAAACACUACUCUUGACACAGAAUGGAAAAUGAGCCAAGACAGAGGGGCAUCAGAGUGUGUGGUAUGUUUGCAAAAUUGUGGGAAGCUCUGUGUGGCCAGGUUGGGUGUGAGGGUUCGCACCGAAGAGUGACAGGAAAUGACCUGGGAACAAUAGGCUUUGGUGCUCCCCCCCCCUCGGUGGUUUUGCUAAGGAUCAUGGGUAUGAUGUUGUAGGGGACAAAAGGCCUUCACAUACUGUAACCCUGGGAGUGAGCAGACCCAAGUUGAGACAGCAUGACAAGCUCUCUGUGACAACCUUUCUAAGACAGCCUUCAGAAUGGGGUAGUUAGGGAGUGGGAAGUGACAGAUGCCAUGGAAAAAGCCAUACCAUGAAAGAGUUUGUUACAGGUAAAGAAAUAAUGGGGGCAUCACUUUAAAAAUAUUUACUUUUUUUAAAUUGUGAAGGUAAUAUAUGCUUAGUAGAGAAAAACUUGGAAAAUGUAAAAAAUUGUCAAUAAAGAUUACAAGGGGAGAAUGUUCUUAGGGUAGUUAAGAGUGAGCAGAGAACUUUUGGAAGGAUAGAGGGCAUUUUUAAAGUUUAUUCCUUUUUUAUUUUCUUUUUAGAUCCAAUUCUAUCCACCUAGGACACCAGAAACUUCAAAUAUAAUUUGUGUACAAAUUAUGCGAUUUCAUAUCAUUUUUGUCCCUGUCUUGAAUAGUUCUUCAUACCACCUCUCUCCUCUCUCUUUUUGCCAACCAACUUUUGCUUUUCCACCCAGGUUAAUAAUUAAAAGAAUCACAAUCAUCAUAGUCACUGUAAGAUAAUCGUAAAAACAUAUAUGGAUCAUUUAUACAGUGUUUAUCACUGUCGUUCAUGAUUUCACUUAUCAUCUAAUCUAAUCCCCACAAAAGCUCCACAAGGUAGGUACUAUUUCUCCAUCCUACAGCUAAAGAUACUAAAGUUUUAUAAAUUAAGUGGUUUGAGCAAAUAUAAAGAACAGUACCUUCUUGGGAAGCUGUGCUCCUCUCCAAAUUAGGAACCCCUGUAAUGUCAUCUCACAGUUCCUAUUUUUUCCUGAGAGGCUUUUCUGUUAUGAGUAAUUGUGCCAUCAGAGACACGUUGCCCCCCCCCCACACACACACAGUGAACCCCAUGGCAACAGGUCAUGUGUCUGCUCUUCCCUGUUGAUCUGACCAGUGCUUAACGUGGUGGCUUCUGGCCCAUAGUAUGUUCCUGGUCACUGCCCCUAUCAGAAGGUCAGUCUAUGCCCAUCACACAGUGACCUGAUAAAACAUGCACUGGAAGGGACUCAACAGUCCUCAGUGGGACAGACAGCAGGGAGACUCUGAGAUAUGGAUGAUGGUAUUUCCUAGAGGCGAGAAGCCUUCCGGAUCAAACUUGCUGUUUCAAAAUCCCGUAGAGCCUUCUCAGAAGCCACCUGACUUUGCGGGUCUCGAUUACAUCCCUACAUCUCUGCAGAAGACAAGGCCUCUAGGCCAGUCCACAUUCACACCCAGGUUCGGCAAGCGGUCUCCUUUAUGGGGUUCAGGUGUGCGUUACACUUAGGUUUGAUCCGUCUAGUUUGAACUGAGUGCUCGUCGUAAAUUGAGGACAAAUUAGAUGGAAAUCAUAGAAGAAGCAAUUUUAUGAAAUAUUGGUGUAUUAAAGUUUUAGUCUCUUAUUUUGCCUAAUGCAGUUCAGUUAAAGUAGAUUUGGAAAUUAUUAAUAAAAAAAGCACUGAAAUGAAAAAUUAUUGAUGUUGAUAUUGUAAUUCAAAUUUAAGCUCUAAAGCAAAUGCUGUUUGGAUUAGCUCAGAACCUGAUGCUUCUUUAUUCCAUUUACCAAAGGAGAUUUAAAAACAAAACAAAACAAACAAACAAACAAACGAAAAAGAACCAUGAAGUGCUAGAAGGCAAACACUCUACUUUUCUGCAUCAGGAUACUCUGACUACCACCUUCAGAAUCCAGAGGACGGACCCUUCCAUUAGUCUAGCAUGAGCAAAAACAUUCGAAAGAUCAUUUAACAGUUAGUAUAGAGUAUCCAGAAAGGCAUCUUACUAUGAUUGCUUUUGUAGUUUUAGACAUUUGAGGGUUCUCCACCCUUAACAAAAUAACUCAGGCACAGAAUUUAGAAAGGUCCCCGACACAAGCUGCAAAAUAUUGGCUCGGGAACAGUUCAGUCUUAUCCUUGCCUUCCUGUUUAUUUUUAGACCAGGAAAGGAAGACAGCUUUUCCUGCCUUUUCAGUUCCCUGAUGAUAUCUCAGCUCGUCCUGAUUCAGUUCAAAGGAAAAGCUCUCUGCACCUGUUCAACUAGUGUCAUUACAUGCAACCAGUUAAUGGACUUGUGCCAUUUCACUUUUAUUUACAAAUCAUGCAGUGUUCUAAAAUCUCCUUGGCCUAAGGUUUAUUAGCACAGAUACUAUGGGAAUAAUUUUGUAUGUUGAUAGUUUGUAAAGGGAUAGGAAGGUAAGUAUUGUAAGCCAUAGUGAAAGGGCCUCUUUAAAUUAUUUUGCUGGUCUUUGUAUUAAAUGCUGUUGCUUUUUUGCCUGAAAUUAAAUUACUAGUGCUAUGAUCUCAUUUACUGACUUAUAAUAAUACCUGUGAGUAUCUACAGUUAUUCACCCAACAGAAGCUUUCUCAGAGCUGUGGGUGCUAAGGACUCGGUGGUGAGGGAGACUCAGCACACAGUCUCCAAAAGGAGACUGCUUGUCCUAGGCAUCAUUCAGUCCACGGGGAGAGAGCCUGCAGCAUCUCUUGGCCCUCCGGUGCUCAGAGGAGCCUUCCUCAAGCACAGCUUGAUCUUCAGAUCUUUCAGUCCUGUUUCGGCAGGCUAACUAGGAAGCUAGAAAGAGCAUACUGAGACUGCUCAUCAACCCAUUUGUGCUCAAACGCGAACCGACUCUGGUAGGAGUAUCCUGUGCUAUGUAUGGGUAAUAUGAAAAGCAAAAUCAUUGCCAAGUCAGUUGUGGUGGCAUGUGUCUGCUAAUCCCAGCACUUGAAAGGUUGAGGCAGGAAGGUUAUAAAUUCAAAGUCAGCCUGGGCUAAGUAAUUAGACCCUAGCUUGAUGAAAAAGGAAAAGAAGAAAGGAGUCACAAUGCUGCCUGCCAGGAACUCUCAUUUCAACUGGGAGCAUGAAUAAGUAGGAUUUUAGCAUCCAGUAUAGCAAGUGUUUUUGUGUUUAUAUAGCUACACUUUUUAUAAUGGAGGAUUGUAGUGUUUUCUUACCCCCUCUUUAUAAUCCCAGCCCUAAUGAGAUCAGUUAGUGGGCCUUUCCUGGAAAACCCCGGUGGAGCAGCAACCUUGUUAGAUUUUCCUCCUGCAGAUCUCUUUCCCAGUCUCCCUUGCAGUCGGGUUGGGGCCCUGUAACAUCCACCUCAUUCUGGGCAGGGAAGCCUCUACAUGAUCAUUUCUGAUCAUUGACUUUUCUAAGUUGAUCUUGAAUGCCAAAAGGAGAGCCACCUCCUCAGAUUGGAGGAAGCUGAGUUCUUAAAGACCAUGAAUACUCACCAAUACACCUUUAAAAAUGUCUUGGCAGCCCAACAAUAUUGGAGUGCAAUACAAGUGAACCGAGAUUGUGGUUGUCGCUCAGCUUGGAAGGUCAUUUUUUACAGCGGUUAGCCUAUACAGAGAACAUCCUCUCUUGGCUCUCAGGCAGCCUGCCCACAGGAAGCAUUGGUUGUUUUAAGAGAAGGAGGGAAGAUGUUCCAAGCUGAGAGGAUCAUAGAAGAGGGAGAAAGCUUGGAAAGUUCCACCUACAGCUGAUUUCUAAACACAGUCACAGUGGAGAUAAGGACUUCAGAUUGUGAAUGCCGGGAGAGACCACUGAGUGCAUAGCAUGAAAGUUAGCACUCUGGAGUCAGACUGCCUGAGCUGGAAGUAACUUGGGACAAGCCAUUUGCUCUCUCUGUUUCUCUGUUUUCUGCACACUGAAAGUAAAGAUAGUGUUUGUAGCCUUUUUAUGUUGAAUAAAUAAGUUAAGUCAUGCAUUGA